CACUUACUCUUUCUCCUUCUCCCCCUCUUUACGCAUCCCGCCGCCUCCUCCUUUCUCAGAUUGGGGAUGGCCGGCGCAACUCCAUUUUCCCCCUACCCUCUAUCCCCACGCGUACGGCGGCAACACUGGAAGAAUCUCGAGUCGCUAUGAUUAUCCACGGCACCGUCGUCGUCGUCGUCGCAGCGACACCAGAAGAAGCUUGAGCAUUGUGGUGGUCGUCGUCUUCCCGAUGCGUGCUGCGGCGACACCGGAAGAAGCCUGAGCCAUGGUGGUGGUUCACUGUGCCGUCGCCGUCGCCGUCGUCGUCGUCCUGAAUAAAUAGGCACGGUAAAAAUCCCCAACCCCGCAUAUAGCUCUUACUUUCUUCCCUGCACACACGAGGCAGCAGUGACGGUGCCGCUUCCUGUUCCCCCAUCCCUCGCGGCUACCUGCGUCGGCCGACGAAACGAGCCCGCAAUUGCUGUGCGCCCCCAGUGUCGCACUGCCUCUGCCACCUCGGCCUCUCUCGCAUCGCUCCACCUCAGCCUUGGUCUGCACACACCAUCGAACGUGGCUGGUAGCUUUUGAAGCCACGAAACCAACAGGGAGGACAGAUCGGCAAGUCUCAGUUAUCUGGUUUUCCCUAUAUCGUGGUUGUUCUACUGCUGAUUGUUUGUCUUUGCGGAUUCUUGGCUUCUCCGGCGCGUGCAUCUUUAAUUAAAAAGGAAAGAUUUUGUCCUCUUCGGGCUUGUAUUUAACCAGCAAGGUAACUUUAUGACAAGACUAAGCCGCUACUUUAGCAAGUAUCAGGGAGAAACAUUGGUCCUGCUGUCACCUGAUAGAAUUUUAUGAUGAGCCCCGCUUCGAGGUUGGAUGGACUUCAGGCUUGGGGGUGGCUACAGGUUGCAGGAUAGCAGGAUGUGUUCUCCAAAGACCGAGUGAUUGUCGUUGCCGACAGGUAGUGGGUGAUCAAGCUUGUGCAUUUUAUGACGCUGCUUGUCUUUUAUUUCGAAGGUAAUACGCCCUAAAUCAUUUACUGAACUUUCAGUUCUUUUCGGAACUAGGCGAGUAAUACCAAUUUGUUAUCUACCAUCCUUAAAUUAUUUGCCAUGCCAUCCAUGUAAGUUUUAGUAUCUUAUACUUAGUUUGGUGUAUGAGAGUAGUUUGUAAUUGGAGGAAGAUUGACACCAUGGCUGCAACUGGUUCAGUGACUAAGACUAUUUCAGGAUCAAUGUACAUUUGGUACUUCCUGCAAUUCAUUCCGGACGUUGAAUACUACUCUUGCUUGGGCAGCUCACUGGUUUUAUUAGGAUGUCUUGGAGGAAGGAAAGGUUUUCCUGAUGAAGAGAUUCAUGUGCAAGUGAGAUAGAGCCUGUCAUUGCCAUAUUUGCAGGUCAUGGCUAACAUCAUCAAGCAUCAGCAGCAAGCAACAAACAACAAGCAUCUUGCAAGAAAGCAGCGAUAGCAGCCACGCAGCCAGCGGCAGCAAGCAGCAAACAACAUGCAGAGGCAAUUUCUCACCCUGUUGCUAGUGGAGAGGUCGGGUGGCGCAGAGCAACGAGCUCCGGACAACGACAAUGGCGGUCAACGUGGAGGAAGAAGUAGGAGGGACCCGCGGCUUCAAAUCUGUGCUCCAGAGGAGACGCGGAUAAUGCGUAACCCAUCAUGGUCCCUAGAGCUGUUCGGUGAGGAGCAUGACCGCAGCGACGUCACGGCGGCCCGAUGAGGAGGAAAGUGGCCUUGGUCCAAGAGGCUCCUGCAUGCCGGCACCCGAAAUCACCAUUACAGGAACGCCAUAAGCAGUAAUGGAGCUAGGGGAACUUGAUAGAACACAUGGAUCUUCUAGGCAUAGAUAGAUCCGGUAGAACACGCGGUGUUACCUUGUCCUGAGCUGGAUGAGCUCCCACCGCUCUCCAUCGGUGCAGUAGCGACGGCGGUGACGGAGAAGGGGGUUUAGCGUAGGUGGAGCUUCCCGUGAGCACCGCGCUUACCUAUAUCAGAUAGGUAUGUUGGUAGGGGUGUGACGGCGGCGAAUCUCGUAGUCCAUGCCCCGGCACCCCACCGUCCUUUAUAUAGUGCGGGUCACAGGGGCCCACCAACCAUAAUGGGUUGGGCGACCCCGAUCAGGGCGCAUAGAUGGUGGGCCGUUGGGCCCACGCGGUGAGAGAUCAACCUAACAUUCUUUUCCUUGAUCUCAACUUUUAUUUUUGACUUUAUACUUUCUAUUUUAUUUGUUCCAUCACAUAUAGGCAUGUAGAGCAUGUUUCAUUGUCACAACUUAAUUGUCGAUAGAAUCAUACAGCUACAACACACUUUUGUUUUGAAAUAAAUUCAUUGACUUUUGGGUCUCUUAUGAUCCAAGAAUCAUAGGCUUUUCAUUAAA